rnacentral:rRNA from 1 species
CCUCAGUAACGGCGAGUGAAGCGGUAACAGCUCAAAUUUGAAAUCUGGCCUCACGGUCCGAGUUGUAAUUUGUAGAGGAUGCUUCGAGCAUGGUCUGGCCUAAGUUCCUUGGAACAGGACGUCAUAGAGGGUGAGAAUCCCGUAUGCGGCCAGGUGCCUACGCUCAUGUGAAGCUCCUUCGACGAGUCGAGUUGUUUGGGAAUGCAGCUCAAAAUGGGUGGUAAAUUUCAUCUAAAGCUAAAUAUUGGCCAGAGACCGAUAGCGCACAAGUAGAGUGAUCGAAAGAUGAAAAGCACUUUGGAAAGAGAGUUAAACAGUACGUGAAAUUGUUGAAAGGGAAGCGCUUGCAACCAGACUUGCGCGCGGCCGAUCAUCCGGUGUUCUCACCGGUGCACUCGGCCGUGCUCAGGCCAGCAUCGGUUUUGGCGGCUGGAUAAAGGCCCUAGGAAUGUAGCUCCUCUCGGGGAGUGUUAUAGCCUAGGGUGCAAUGCAGCCUGCUGGGACCGAGGACCGCGCUUCGGCUAGGAUGCUGGCGUAAUGGUUGUAAGCGGCCCGUCUUGAAACACGGACCAAGGAGUCUAACAUCUAUGCGAGUGUUUGGGUGUCAAACCCAUACGCGUAAUGAAAGUGAACGGAGGUGAGAACCCUUAAGGGUGCAUCAUCGACCGGUCCUGAAGUUUACGGAAGGAUCUGAGUAAGAGCAUAGCUGUUGGGACCCGAAAGAUGGUGAACUAUGCCUGAAUAGGGUGAAGCCAGAGGAAACUCUGGUGGAGGCUCGCAGCGGUUCUGACGUGCAAAUCGAUCGUCAAAUUUGGGUAUAG